rnacentral:tmRNA from 1 species
GGGGCUGACUUCAGCUUUCGACAUUGGGACUUUAACAGACUGCACCCGCACACCGACCUCUGACGUAAUCAGAAUCAAUAGUUGCAAACACAUUUGCACAGCGAGUGAAGAGCUUUUUCCAAGUUCCUUCAUUCGCGCCAGCUCUGGUUUAAUCACCAAGCCGUACGAACCUAGAUUUCUACUAUAGGUGCGUGCGUCAUAUUUCGUAGAAUCGCCAACAAUCGCUAUCGGGACGAUCACUGGUUAAACGUUAUCUCGACCCAUUCCGCUGUAUGUUUGUCAUAUUUUGAGCAGUAGGGAUGGCUAAACCCAUGAAUAUGACUAUGUGUGUAGACGGACAGUAGGUUUCCUAAUGGACCCGGGGGCAGUGCCCGGCAGCUCCACCA